UACGGAGGGUGCAAGCGUUAUCCGGAUUUACUGGGCUUAAAGGGUGCGCAGGCGGUUAUGUAAGUCAGUGGUGAAAUCUCUAGGCUUAACCUGGAAAUUGCCGUUGAUACUAUAUAUCUUGAAUGUUGUGGAGGUAAGCAGAAUAUGUCAUGUAGCGGUGAAAUGCUUAGAUAUGACAUAGAAUACCUAUUGCGAAGGCAGCUUACUACGCAGAUAUUGACGCUCAUGCACGAAAGCGUGGGGAUCAAACAGG
rnacentral:rRNA from 1 species